AAAUUCAGCUCUUCCAGACCAAAGUUCUUAAUGUCGUCAACCCAUAAUAUACCGGGAAUUUAAACUUAUCGAUACAUACAUGGGAGUGUUUACAGUACAUAUCUAAAAAAUGGUGCAUAUAGUGCGCCCUAAUAUAGCAUUAUGACAAUCAAUCAUAACAUUCACCAUAACCGAUCGCAAUAAAAAAAAUAUAACUUUUCUUUAUCACAAAAAACGUAAUAUUUACCAUAAUGAUGUAUAACACAUUAUUUUUUCAUUAUUUUUAAUAUACAUAUCUUCUAACAUUCACCACACACAGAUCAUAACAUAUUCCACGAUCGAUCAUAGCAUUUACCAUAAUUGAUCAUAAUAUUUAUACUAUAAAUUUUGUAUACAUAUAUUUACAAAUAUAUUGUCCACUACUAUACUUGCCAAUUUACCUAUAUAGGCACAAAUCCUGAUACCACUAUUUGAAACACUCUUCCAAAACCCCCAAACAACCUCUAUAGCUUAAUAGUGAAGAUAGAAGGCCAAUACAUGAUCCCAGCAAGUAUAGAUGAUAAAACUAUACACGUAUGACAUUCAUCAGGAUAUAUAAUUCCAAAAAAGAAAAGAAAGAAAGAAAAAAAUGUAAAGGACGUGAUUGACAAAUCAGCCUAACUCUGAUAAAAAAGAAAGAAAGACCAGGAACAUAAAUCGUAAAUUUCAUAAUCUUAUAUCAAAAUAAUGGGGAAUAAUUUAGGAUCUCUCACCUGAUAUGGUCACAGGAAGACGAUGAUGGAGAAUCAUGGAGAGAGAUUUGGGGAACGGGUGAUGAGAGAGAAGCACAUUAGAUUUUUUUGAAAAUUGACUUUUAGCUGAGUUUGACUCAAUGUGUGGUUAUGUGGUUUUGUGAACUUGACUUAAGCAUUGACAAAUUUUAAUUGAGAAGUUAUAUUCCCAGCAUCCCUUUUCCUCUCAUUUGCUAGGUCUUCCCUUCAAUUUCUCUUUUUCCAUUUACCAUCUACAUACACAUGCAGGUCCAACUUCUUUUCUCUCUCUUGCAUAACUCGGUGUCUGGUUCAAUAGACCGACUAAUUCAAAUGACUAAUCCCACCGUAUGUCUACAAGCGAGAUCCCUUUUAACUAAAACUGAGAAAAAAUCUCAUAUGAACUGACCCAAUACAAUAAUUGAUAACAUGCAGGUAAGAGUCAAAUCUCGAUUAAAAAUUUCACGAGGAACAUAAUGAUCAAGUAACUAUCAUUGCGCCAAUACCUGGGUUUAACAUUUAUUCUCUCGGCAUAGCAACCCACUCGAUGGGUGGAGUCAAGAUUCCGAUGUGUGGAGGGCACAUUUCUAAAAUGAUAUAUAUAUAUAUAAUAUAUAUAUAUAUAUAUAUAUAUAUUUGAUAAUUAAAAGAAGUAAUUAAAUUGAAGUGCAAAUGAAAAGUAAUAUGUAGAACACAUCUACGACUUUUGAAAUUCGGAACAUGUUUCAUGACAAUUUUAUUUAUUAUGUUAUUAAAAGAAUUAGAGGUCUGUACUUUGCCAAAAUCAUGUUAUACACCCAAAGAGAGUAAGAUAAGAAAAAUAAACUCCUUGUUGUUUUUAGGUUAUAUGUGUGUAUAUAUAUAUAACGCGUAACUUGAGUUUAUUCAAGUUAUUGUACCUCUCAUUUUAAAAAAAAAAAAUUAUUGAUAAAAAAUAAAAAUAAAAUAAUUUAUCCACGUUUAUCAUUUUUGCAUAAAAAUAACUUUUAGAGAGAAUCUUGACACUGAUUUUAUAAGUUAAAGAAGGCAAUAUUAUUUCUAAAAUUACAGAGGAGUUGACUGCAUUUGUGAGUUCAGUGAAUGUUAUCCAAAAAAUAGUUAUAAAUGAAGAAAAAUAUCACUAAACUCCCAUAAUUAAAAAUUAUGAAGCGUUCAACUUAAAAUCAAUUAUAUAUACCAGAGAAACAUAGAUAAGCAGUAUGAGACAAGUGUAACAUUCAUAAAACUGGAAGCUAUACCAACAAAAAAGCGACAAAAAUCAAAUUCAACUUCUUCCGGACCAAAGUUCUUAAUGUCGGUCACCCAUAACAUAACGGAAAUUUAAACCUAUCGAUUCUCUGAUAUAAUAUUAUCACAAUCAAUCGUAAUAUUCAUAACAACCGAUUGUAAUAAAAAAAAUAUACAAUCUUUCUUUAUCGCAAAAGAUUUUAACAUUUACUACAAUAAUGUGUAAUACAUUAUUUUUUAUUAUUAUUAACAUACAUAUCCCGUAACAUUCACAACACAGAUCAUAAUGUAAAUCAUGAUUGAUCAUAAUAUUAUCACAAUCAAUCACAACACAAUCGUAAAUUUCAUAAUCUUAUAUCACAAUAACGGGGAAUAAUUUAGGAGCCCCCACAUGAUACGGUCACAGGAAGACGAGGUUGUAGAAUCAUGGAGAGAGAUUUGGGGAACGGUUGAUGAGAGAGAAGCACAUUAGAUUUUUGUCAACAUGCCCUUUGGCGGAGGUUGACUCAUGUAUUCAAUAAUACUAGGCUAGCUGCACAGAUCUAAAACAAAGAAGCAACCACAGAUGAUUGCAUGGCUGCUCGACUUACUGACUUGUGGCCCCUAUCUAACACAUGUAUUUCCCUUUAAAAAAAAGUAAAAAAGAAAUACAAAAAGUUUCAAUAAUCGUUUAGUUCAUUUUUAUAACUUAAUAAAUUAAUGUAUUACAUACAAAAAGUUUAUUCUAUCUGUAUGCAAUUAAAGAAUCCGUAAGUUCUUGAUUUGGAUCUGAUUCAAAAUUGGGUAUUUGAUUUGCUGUUGAAUCAGAGUAUUUCUGGUUUGAGUGUACUAUUGAUUUGAGAUGGGUUGUGGCUUUUGUAGUUUUCAUUGUGAUUCCUAGUUCAUGUAUUGACAGUAUUGUAGAGGUGGUUUGCGAAUUUUUAGUUGUCAUUUAGAUUUGUUUCCAAAUCGGUAAUAAGGCAUCCUGGGUUUAGUUAAUUUAUGGGUUUGUUACUUUCUUCCAUUUUGAUUGGAUCCAAUUCUGAUCAAGGAUUUGUGAAAUUGAAGGGGGAUUGUCAUUUGGUUGAGUUUGCAUUGUAACGUUUGCCCAUUCCCAUAUAAGGAGAAGCCGUAUGGGAGACUCCGUACGAGGGAUCAGUAAAAAAUUAUUUAGUGGAAACGGAUGGUGUAUGAAACUGAGACAGUGAAAACAUUUUCUGUUCUCAAAAAAUUGUUAGAAAUUACAGUGAGAAUGAAAGUUCAAAGUGGGCUGAAAUUUUCAGCUGAAUAUGGAGUUGUUAAGCAGCGCAAAGGAAUAAUCAGCCUAUAAUGGCUGUAUUUUUAGUGAAUUAAAUCCACUAAUGAGGGGGUUAUGGUGAGUUUUAUAGUCAUGUUUAUGACUGUUUAAGUUUUAUACUUUUUAACUAUAAAAAGAGGAGUUAAGUUGUUUAGAUGAAAAACAUAACAAGAAAGCAUAAAACAUUUUGAGUUUUAUUUAAGUGAAAAAGAGAUAAUCGCAGUAAACUUAUGAGGUGUUCCAAAGUUAGUGGUUCUAACCAUUUUAUCUUGAGAGGAAGAUGUCGACAAUACCCCUCGAUAGGCGGCGAAUCUUUCUUAAGAAAAAGACUACAUUUGCUGGACUCAGCAAAAUCUUUCUGUUUGUAUCUCUUAUUUUAGUUUCUAUUCAUUUCAGUUUUUGUAAUUUCAAUUUUUGUAAAUUAUUUUUAUUUACUAUAAAUUCAGUGUACUGUAAUUUAUUUUGAUUAAUGGAAGUUGUUUUUUGAAAUUCUGUAUUUGUCAAAUAUUUUUUUCAACAAUCUUAAGAAAUAUUUUUUUUAAUUAUCAGCAAAUGAAUUCCAGAAAAUAAUUUGUACAGAAACUAGUAUGAGAUGAAUAAAAGAAAAUUUAUGUUUUCAUGUUGCCCACAUCAGAACGAACAGACUACUAUUUAUCAUGAUAUCAAACAUGAGAAAUAGUACCAGAAAUAUACAGACUGUUAUUAUGAAAAUAUUCUGAAAUAUUUCUAAUAUUUUCGUUAAGAUGUUUUAGACUACUAUUGGUUUUGUUUAUUGCAGAAUUUUAUUUUAUUUUUUCCAAAUAUACAUUUAUUUUUAGAAAAUGUUUCUGCUUUAUUCAGAAACUAUUUUAGUAUUUUAAAGAAAGAAAAUAUUUUCUAUUUUUUUUCCAGAAGCUGUCCAGUUUCUGUAUAUAAAACUGUCCAUUUUUUUUAGAAACUGUUUUUGGAAAGAAACAAAAGUUUGCUGAUUUUUUUUGUUAAAAACAGAACAGUUCUAUUUCUGAAAAAAGAAAAAAAAAUUAUUUUCUGAUUAUUUUUCUGUUAAAAAACAAAACAGUUCUAUUUCUGGGAAAAGAAAGAAAAAAAAAUUCUGAUUAUUUUUCUGUUAAAAAACAAAACAGUUCUAUUUCUGGGAAAAGAAAGAAAAAAAAUUAUGUUUUCUGAAUUUUUUUUCCUGGUAAAAUCAGAACGGUUUUAAUUUUUUCAGAAAUUGUCCAGAUUCAAUAACAGUCCUGCAACUGUUUAUGAAAAAAAUCUUAUAGAAUUCAACCCAUAGGCAUUAACACUGAGUACUGUGCGAACACAAAUAAUCAGUUUUAAGUCACCGUGAGUAUAGUUUGUGGCAACAUGUGGUAAUUACUGUAUUAGCCCAUAACUAUCUAUAAUUACAGUUUUUUGUAGUUAUUGUUUUAGCCCACAUCUUUUGGAGGUUACUGUUGUAACCCAGAUUUUUAGUAAUUACAGAUUGGCCACAAUCUUUACUGUAAUUAUAAACUCUACCUACCUUUCAGGAAAAUUAUAAAAAGCUCCAUAUUUUGAUAAUUAUAGAUUUUACCCUAGUUUUGGAAAAUAACAGAUGUAUCCAGAUUUUUAAAAAAUUAUAAUUUUACCCCAAAUUCUUGAAAAUUAUAAUUUUUUACCCCUGGGUGAUCAACCGUGCACGGUUUGACCUUGAUUAGAAUUUAGAGGCUAUGACAUUAGGUAGUUGUGCACGGUUGACUUUUGUUAAAUAAGUUGUUAAUAUCUCUGUUCAUAUUCAACUAGUUGAAAGUUUUUCUCGACCAAUUGGAAAUGCAGAAAAAGUAUUAUGCUUGACCUAAACUGGUUGGAAAAAUUUUCUCAACAAGUUAGGAGUUCAAUAAGUCAGAUUUUUCCGUGAAUUGAAGGAGAUUAUGUAUAGAUUGUUAAUCUAUUCAUGUUGUCGAUAUUGUUAAAAUUUAUACAUUGAUAUGUGAUUGAUCUUUCUCAAGAAGAAAAAAAAUAUGUCGACAAAAGUUGAUGAAACGAGCACUCAAGUUCCUAUUUCUAGAAGGGCUACUGCUCCAACCCAGGUGUUCUGUCGAUUCUGAUGGCACAUGUGGAUAAACCAGGAAAGUUACGUGGGGCUGAUUUCAAAAGAUAGUAGUAGAAGAUGAUGUUUUAUCUUACGAAGCUGAAUCUCGUUGGAUGCUUGAUAGAAGAAGCUCUAGUUGUGGCUGAAAAUGAGACGGAUAGUCAAAAGGUGAUUGCGCGGGGAUCACUAGAAGAAUGCUAAUUAUCAUUGCCAUAACUACGUUCUUUAAUGCCUUGGAUGACUCUUUAUAGUAAGUGUACAAUGAGGCGAAGUCUGCUAAGAAACUGUGGAAGUCUUUAGACAAAAAAUACAAGAUCGGCAAGAAAUUUAUUGUUGGCUGGUUCCUAGAUUAUGUAAUGCAUGACAUGAAAUCGGUGACAGCUCAAUUCCAAGAGCUCUAGGUUCUCAUUAAUGAGAUCAAGGCAGAAGGAAUGCUUUUGAGUGGGGUAUUUCUAGUGGUUGCGGUCAUCCACAAGCUCCCAGAGACAUGGAAGGAAUUCAAGAGUUAUCUCAUAUUCAAGAACAAGGAGAUAACAUUGGAAGCCCUUUUCUUCAAGCUCAAUGUUGAGAAAGAAAAUCGGGCAAAAAACAAAAGUGUCAAAACCUUCUAUAUGGUCAAGGCUAACAUAAUGGAGCAUGAUCAGUCCUAGAAGAUUAAGAAAUCGAAGGACAAGUGGUCAAGUAACUAGAAAGGCAAGGGUGUCAAAUUGGGAUCAAAAAGUGCGAUUGCCAAGAAGUCUACAAAAAAGUUUCAGGGUACGUGCUUCAACUAUAAUAAGUUUGGGUAUCGUGCUUUUGAGUGUAGAAACCAAUGCAACCUAGAGCUCAUGCACAUAUGACUGAGGUCGUCAAGGAGGUAUACAUGAUAUCAACCUCUUGACAGUGGUUUCUGAAGUGAACAUGGUGGGAUCAAAUCCACAAGAAUGGUGGAUAGACACUGGGGUUAUACACCAUGUCUGUUGGAAUAGACGAAUAUUUACUACCUUCGAACCAGCGGCAAAUGGUUAAAAGAUUUUUAUGGAAAAUUCAGCCACCUCCAACGUUGUAGAGAUUGGAAAAGUAGUCAUGAAAAUGACUUAAGGAAAAGAGCUGACUCUGAACAAUAUGUUAUUCGUGCCCGAAAUCAGAAAAAAUCUGGUGUCGAGUUCUCUAUGGAUCAGACAUGGUUACCUUAUAGUCUUUAAGACAGAUAAGGUCACUCUAUCAAAGGCUGAAAUGUAUGUAGGAAAAAUGUUAUAUGAUCGAUGAUCUAUUCAAGAUGAAUGUAAUCACUGAAAUCCCUACUAUCAAUAAAAAAAAAUUCUGUUGUUUAUGUACUUGAGUCUUCUAUUUUGUGGCAUGGUAGAUUAGGACAUGUUAAUUUUGAUACUAUGCGUAGACUAAUUAACUUAAAUCACAUUCCAGUAUUUUAAAUUGAUAAAAAUCACAAGUGUGAGACUUAGUUGAAGCAAAGUUAACAAAGUCUUCAUUUUAUUUGGUUGAAAAAAUUACCAAACCAUAUUUGUUUUAAUCCACACUAAUAUGUGUGAUUUGAAGUAUGUCCAAACAUCUAAUGUAAAUAAGUAUUUUAUUACAUUCAUUGAUGAUUAUAAUAAAUAUUGUUAUGUGUACUUACUAAAAAAUAAUGAUGAAAUUUUGGACAAAUUCAUUCUUUAUAAGAAUGAAGUAAAAAAUCAACUUAGCAAGAAAAUUAAGGUUGUGCAAAGUGACCGACGUAGUGAAUAUGAAUCACCAUUUGAUGGGUAUUGUAGAAAACACGGAAUUAUCUACCAAAUCACUACCUUAUUCUCCUCAGGAGAAUGGAACUGCUGAACAAAAGAAUCGUACGCUAAAGGAUAUGAUGAAUGCUAUUUUGGUAAGUUCUGGAUAACAUGUAGGGUGAAAUAAUUCUCACCGCCAACUAUAUCUUGAAUAUAAUACCUCGUAAGAAGUUGGACAAAACCCCGUAUGAGUUGUUUAAGAGUAAGAGUCCUACUUAUAACUUUUUACGGACAUGGGAAUGUCUUGCGAAAGUGUUUAUACCUCUUCCUAAGAAGGAGAAUAUAAGUCCAAAUACCAUUGAUUGUGUGUUCAUCGGUUAUGCACAAAAUAGUAAUGCAUAUCGAUUUCUUAUGUAUGAAUUUGUGAUACUAGAUAUUCACAAGAAUACCUACAAGGAGUCUAGGAAUGCGUCAUUUUUUGAACACAUAUUUUUAUAUAGAUCUAUUGGUGAGUCUAGUUCAGUAAAACGGACUCUGCAUCUUGCUAAUGAUAGCAAUCGAGAUCAAGAAGAUGAAUUUGAAAUCCAGCUGAGAUGUAGCAAGAGAGCUAGAACGUUAACAUCUUUUGGUCCAGACUUCCUUACUUAUAUGUUAAAAAUUGAACCUCGGACAUACAAAGAAACAGUGAGCUGUCCUGAAGGUCCAUUGUGGAAAUAGGCUAUUAAGAGUGAGGUUGACUUCAUUUUGCAAAACUAUACGUGAAAAUUGGGGGAUUUGCCACUAGGAAGUAAGCCUUUGGGUUACAAAUAGAUCUUCAAAAGGAAGAUCUAUUUAAAAAAAUUAUGAUAUUAUAACAGAAAGGUACUAGUACCACACACGCAAAAGAAAAAAAAUGCAGCAAAAGAGAGUAUUGAUAUUGUGUGCAUAAUAAAUUAACAAAAAUCUAACACAUACAAAAUAAUACCCCUAUCUCCCCUCUACUUCAUCAUAGUUAGGUGCAUGUGUGCUAACUAAUUGACCAACGUCCUCAGAAGUAUUUUUCGAGAGAUGAGUAGGGCACGUAAUCAACACUAAUUUGGUUAUCGGUUUGCCACAUCUGUUGCAGUUGCAAUGAAGACUGUAGGCUUUCCACCACGUAGUCCAUCGAGGGGUGGUGGUUGGACACCCUAUUUAGACAAACGACUCACUGCUAUCUUAACGUAUUCUUUCAAGGAUUAUUCUGGUGCAAUUUUUCCAUUAAGAUACGGUUCAAUGACAUAGUCUAUAACUUCUAAUUGGAGGAUGUUUUUGAGUAAAUCGAACAGUGGCAACUUACGAUAUCCCACAAUCACCUUCAAGAACUUAUUCAAUGACUCUUUAGAAAUUAGUAUUUGCAAUAACAUGGCACCGAACGAGUACAUGUCAUGUUUUUUUUGUGUGUUUUCGACACACUAGGUCGUCCUUCGGAUCCAUAUCCCCCCAUUUUUCGUAGUACGAUAGAAAUUUAGUUGAGAUCAAGUAAUAGAAAUCUCGCAAGUAUAAUCCUAAUUAUGUAGUAUAUGAUUUUACAAAAAGAAUAUAUUUUUUAAAUUUAAUUUGUGCACAUUUUUUAUUAGGUCCUGAGAUUCGAUUCCCAACACACGUGUAAACAUACAUACAAUUUGUUUUAGAAAAAAUAAUAAAAAUAUUAUAAAACGAAGAAAACUAUCGCAAAACUCCAUAAAACUAUAAGGAUCUCCCAGCAAAAAAGCAACAGAAACAAAAUUCAACAUAUUCAAAACCAAAGUUUCAAAUAUAAAGCGAAUGCAUCAAUAUCGGUGGAUGGGUAUUGGGAAUUUAAAGUAUCAAUACAGAUAUUGUAAGGGGGCAAAAUAUACAAUGACAGAGUCUGGCCUUGCUAAGGUAGGGAGCUCUACCAAGCUAUCAAUAUGAAGUAUACUCGGUGAACCUCUGCGCCGGAGCUCGGUGUAGACACUACUGAAGACAAGCACUGUCCGAGCUAAGGCCAUCGUUACUUAUGGCUAGCGUUAGUUAGCACAUUUAGAAGAAUAAUUGCGCUAGAGUUUGGACGAGGGACAACUACCGGCGACAAGCUCGAGGGAUGUCAAAAGACAGAAGGUAACUUGCACGUUAAAGUUUUUUAUGACAGCCCUAUGCCAGGAUGGGGACAUUUGCAACAUAAUGACAGGCUACCAGCUAGGCCCUAGGAGCAUAGCUGGGUUAGCCACUUACUCACUGACACAACGGUCAAUGCGUAUGAGCAAGCGUCGAGCUGCAGUCUGUCUAAUAAUAAGAUAGCUAGCACGUUAAGGCAUGCGUCGAGCUGUGCCAUAUAAAUUUAACCUUUAUUUUUUAAAAAAGUACACGAAUUAAGUCUUGGAGACAUACUCUCCCUAUAUAAAUACGUUUUUCGGUCAUCUAACUUGAUUGUCGGGGAGCCAUUUCUUGAAAACAGCUUCGGCAGCCAUUCUCACUAUUUUUGUGUUGCAGCUAAACCUUCGCUGACUGGUGACUAACUGCAGCCAUCCGCACAGCCGUAGGACCACUUCAUGUGUCUAUCCUCGAUUUCUUUUCUCUCAUUCUAUAAACUCACACCCCACAGAUAUUUUACAUAUACCAAUGGUGAUGCAUGUGCCCUUACACGCAGUGGCGGAUCCACAGUGUCACAAGAAGGGGCUGUAGCCCCCACGACUUUCAAAAAAUUGCAAAAAUUGUUUUAGAAUUUUUUUUUUUAUACUUUAGCCCACCUAAAAUAUAUUAAAAAUUUUUUUUUACACUUUAGCCUCCUUAUUUAAAAUCCUGACUUCGCCCCUGCUUACACGUAAUAUGUUGUUCACGACUUUCAGAGAGUUACUUGGGACUUGUGUGGGCACAACCCUGAAUCCUCUUCUCAUGUGCUCGGGGACUGUAUCAGAGCUAGGAACAUUAGGCAAACGGUCCAGAUACCUUCAUCCCUCCCAGCUGACAUGGCCACUGAUUGGGCUAACUGGCUUUACUCUAGUUGUCCUGCCUCUUUCAUUCGCUCAAGUGGAAUUUC
rnacentral:lncRNA from 1 species